ACUAUAAAAGCGUUUGACAAGGGAACAAAGGUCAUCAUAUCAUUAAAAUGGAGAAUACUUCAAGAAACUCUGCCGCUACACUCGCCCUCUUCUUCAUGGCUUUUCUUAUAAUCUCAUCUUCAGAUAUGUGCAGGAUGUGUGAUGCAAGAAACGUUGUGCGAUUACCUUGUCGUGAUGACUCAUAUUGUAGACAUGAUUUUGCAACUCGUAAAUGUAAAUGCGUGAAUACUUAUUGUCAGCAUCCACCAAAUUGUGGUUGAUUAUAUAAUCAACUCAAUGUCAUGCACUAAUUCGUACAAAAAUAAAGUUAUAAUAAUAAUAAUAAUAAUAAAUAAAU